GUGACUGCUCUAGGUCUUUUUUCUGCGUAGUUUUUUGACACUUACUUGUGAUAAUAAUGCCAACACAAUUUCAUGUUGCUUCGUGAAAGUGGCUUUGAGGGGGUGAAUUUUAAUGACAAUUCCGAGGUGUGCUAGUGAAAAAAUGAUGCCAUCAAAAUUGGCUUACAAGGUCCUCCCACACACAAAGACAAAAACUUCCAUCUCUUGCAAUCUAUUGUAAAAUAUCUACAUCAAAGCAAAACGGCAGGCUUCCUGUGCCUUUUCUGGCAUGGUUUCUUGAGAGUUUCUUGUGGAUCGCCUCAUGAUAAACAUGGCUAUCGAAAUCCGUGUCCAAGGCAUCGGAGCCCGGAUUUUCCCAGGAAACUAAUAUUUUGUAAGGGACAGAGAGCCGGUGCUGCCGCCAUCUUGAUCUGGCCACAUCCAUUUCGAUGGUGAUUCCCGUCUUUUGGAAGUCAUCCAAUUUGCUGUCGGCGCUGCAGAAUUGUGAGAUUGGCGCGGCGGAGGAUGUGCUCACCAGCUGUGAGAUUAAGGGGAACUGAUCGAUGGCCCUCCUGAUUGGGCGGCCCCGCGUCCCGCCAAGCAUCCAAUCCCCCGUGGUCGGCGAGCUUGUCCUCGGCGGAGCCAAAAGCAAUUCUUCCUCCUCACGGGGGCCAAAUAAGAGCACUGACCUGAAGCUUCAAGGCCACGCUUGGAGGCGCCGUCUCCAUCUUGUCUGGAGGAAAAAAAACAUCAAGCUGAAGGGGAAGAAACAUGAAGGGACUUAAAUUAAAAACAACACCGCAGCAUUAUGGACAAACCGGGAAGGAAAGAGGUCAAAGUUUUGCAUUCAAUGGUUGUUUUUAUUUUUUUAAAUCACACCUUGGUUUGUGUAGCAGCCUGUCCCAGAAAUGAUCUGUUACUCAAACAGCACGGGGUGAUCUCUAACGUGAUUUUCUGAGAGAAUAUUUCUAAUCCAUUUAAUUGUUGAAAUUGAAAUUGUAUCCUUAUUUAUUUCAAAUCGUAAGGCAUCUUUUGAUAAGUUAAUGUGACAAAAACAAAGCAUUAAUUUGAAAAAAUGCUUUUACAACACUUUUUAAAAUGCAUUUGUUAUUCAUCUCAUUUGUAAAGUUUUUUAUUUGAAAAUUACAUUGCAUCACAUCAUUAUAUACCAUUUUUUAAAAAUGCCAUUAAUAAGUAAAUAUUUAAAUUAUUAAUGCAUUAUGAAUGAAUCAACUUUUUGUUCAUAUCCAUUUUCCAAGCCGCUUAUCCUCACAAGGGUCGCAGGAGUGCUACCAUUGGGCGAAAUGCAGACUACACCCUGAACUGGUUGCCAGUCUGUCAAAGGGUACAUCAACACCAUCACUGAGCAGGAAUCGAUCCCACACUGCCCACUUAAAGUAAGAUUCCGUCUAGUGGAGCGUGUGUUUGAUGAGGAGAAACCGAGCGGAUGCCGUAAUUAUUUAUGCAAAGAACAUUGCAAGACUGGCAUAGUCGGCACAUCUAGUGACAGAAUGGGAGCCAAACCAUGGGUUGCGGGUGAGCUGGAGCCUUUCCCAGCUAUCUUCGGGCGAGGGCCAGGGCACACCCUGAACUCAUCGCCAAUUGCAGUGAAAGGUUUACUGGCCCUGGCAAUGCUGCUACCCUUGUGAGGAUCGUAGCUUUGGUGCUAUUGGUAAAACCAACGUGUUCAACUGCUGAUGACUGAAGAAUUGAAAACAAGCCUUCGAAAGAUGAGUCUACUCUUUGUUUUGGAAAAUACUGCAGAGACGUCUUGUGCUGUAAGCGUUCUUGUUCCUCAGAACGAGAGGAGACGCUGAAGAGCAAUGUGAAGAUUUACUGUAUGGAUUUGACCCGAAAACUCGUAUUUGGAGUCGUUGCCAGUGAGCACACAUCUCUUCCUCCUCCUCCCUCCCUCCCGGUCCUCCCGGCGCCACCGCAGGCGAGCUCGCUCCGUCCUGUUGCAGCCGGCCGACGGAAAGGUCCUGUCGGAGAAAAUCUCCCUCAGUUUGCUCAGGAAAAACACCUCCAGGUUUCGACCGGCCCGGGCCACCUCCGAGUCGGGCUGUGGGCAAGCCGGAGCAGAACGGUGGGGUCAGAGAUCCUGUUUCAUUUGUGUGACUUCAACAUCACACCGCUAAUGAGGCCCUAAUUACUUGACUUUUAAAGCAUUUGAGCUCGAGGACUCUUAAUGAGAGCUGCUAUGUGUCCCGAAUGUCCCUUCCUCAUUUGUCUCCUUGCUCACACUCUAAUAUUGAAUCUGAUAAUUUUACGCUACACUAAGUUGCAAUACAAUACUUAAAGAGAGUUGUCUCAAACUCAGUUCACCUCGGGGGCCGCUGUGGGCGCAUUCUAGCUGAGGCUGGGCCGCACAUGCACGCAAUUUAAAUGAGAAAUUUUAAAAAAACGGCUUUUUUUUUUUUUUUUGCGCAAAAUAAGAUAAGCAAGGAUGCUGGCGUAAACAAGUUGUGUGCAAAACUACUCAUGAAACUCUCCAUGGCAACACCAAUAUAACUUUUCAUUGAAAAAUGUUUCCCCGCUUGCAUCAAGCCUGGUCGCUGUCACACCCCCGAGAGCCACAACCCCACCGUGAUUUGUAGGUUCGUCAGCUUUGCACACAACACUGUAAAAGUGCCAUUCAUAUAAAGCUUCAGGGCCACACUGUCAUUUAAUUUUCAUAAUCAGGUGGGGCCCACAAAAUACCAUCUUGGGGGCCGCAAUUGGCCCACGGGCUGUGAGUUUGAGACCACUGCUUUAAGAUGACUUAUGGUGUGAUACAGUACAGUAUGUUACGCUACAAUAAGUUAGGCUCGCUCCAUGACAAUCAGUUAAAUGAUGUAACGCGAAAUUAUAUUAUAGGUUACAAUGUAGUACAUUAUGCUAUGAUAAAUUGCAAUGCAUUGUGCUACAAUACAUUGUGAUAGUGUCCAAUAUGUUACAAUACAAUACGUUGCAUGUAUGAUACAAUCUAGUGAAAUUGGGAAUUUUUUUUUCUACGACAUACAGUGAAGAAAAUAAGUAUUUGAACACCCUGCUAUAUUGCAA